UGAGGAAUAUUGCCCAAUGGAGGAGACUCUGAGGCAGCGACGCCGCGUGGGUGAAGAAGGCCUUCGGGUCGUAAAGCCCUUUUCUGCGAGACGAGCAAGGACGGUACCGCAGGAAUAAGUCUCGGCUAACUACGUGCCAGCAGCCGCGGUAAAACGUAGGAGGCAAGCGUUAUCCGGAGUUACUGGGCGUAAAGCGCACGCAGGCGGACGGGUAAGUGGGUCGUGAAAGCGCCCGGCUAAACCGGGCGAGGACGAUUCAGACUGCCGGUCUAGAGUCGGAUAGAGGAGCGCGGAAUUCCGGGUGUAGCGGUGAAAUGUGUAGAGAUCCGGAGGAACACCAGUGGCGCAAGCGGCGCUCUGGGUCCGAACUGACGCUGAGGUGCGAAAGCGUGGGGAGCGAACGGGAUUAGAGACCCCGGUAGUCCACGCCGUAAACGAUGUCAACUAGAUGUCCACUUGGCUACGGUCAAGGGGGUGUCGAAGCCAACGCGCUAAGUUGACCGCCUGGGGAGUAC
rnacentral:rRNA from 1 species